AAAAAGACAAACCGCGGGUUUACAUGCCAACGUUUGACUGUCCGUUUUAUAUGAAAUUUUUUUAUAAUUAGUAUUUUCAUUGUUGUUAGAUGAUAAUGAAUACUUUAUGCGUGAUUUAUCUUUUUAAUUUUUUUAUAAUUUUUUUAAAUAAGACGGACGGUCAAAUAUUGGACACGGAAACCAGGGUUUGUCUUUUU
rfam:Oryza glumipatula chromosome 12, whole genome shotgun sequence.